GAGCNGUUGUCCGGAAUUACUGGGCGUAAAGAGCUCGUAGGUGGUUUGUCGCGUCGUCUGUGAAAUUCCGGGGCUUAACUCCGGGCGUGCAGGCGAUACGGGCAUAACUUGAGUACUGUAGGGGAGACUGGAAUUCCUGGUGUAGCGGUGAAAUGCGCAGAUAUCAGGAGGAACACCGGUGGCGAAGGCGGGUCUCUGGGCAGUAACUGACGCUGAGGAGCGAAAGCAUGGGUAGCGAACAGGAUUAGAUACCCUGGUAGUCCAUGCCGUAAACGGUGGGCGCUAGGUGUAGGGGUCUUCCACGACUUCUGUGCCGUAGCUAACGCAUUAAGCGCCCCGCCUGGGGAGUACGGCCGCAAGGCUAAAACUCAAAGGAAUUGACGGGGGCCC
rnacentral:rRNA from 1 species